AGAGUUUGAUCCUGGCUCAGGACGAACGCUGGCGGCGUGCUUCAUACAUGCAAGUCGAACGAGAAGUUACCUUCGGGUAAUGGACAGUGGCGGACGGGUGAGUAAUGUGUAGAGAAUCUGCCCUAGAGUGGGGGACAACAGCUGGAAACGGUUGCUAAUACCCCAUAUGAGCGUAUCUGAAAUGGUAUUCUUGAAAACUCCGGUGCUCUAGGAUGAGUCUGCAUCUGAUUAGCUAGUUGGGGGUGUAAUGGACCACCAAGGCGACGAUCAGUAGCUGGUUUGAGAGGAUGAUCAGCCACAAUGGGACUGAGACACGGCCCAUACUCCUACGGGAGGCAGCAGUAGGGAAUUUUGCGCAAUGGGGGCAACCCUGACGCAGCAACGCCGCGUGAUUGAUUAAGCCCUUCGGGGUGUAAAGAUCUGUCAGUGGGGACGAAAUAUGACGGUACCCACAGAGGAAGCACCGGCUAACUCCGUGCCAGCAGCCGCGGUAAUACGGAGGGUGCAAGCGUUGUCCGGAAUCAUUGGGCGUAAAGAGUUCGUAGGUGGUUUGUUAAGUUUGGUGUUAAAUGCAGAGGCUCAACUUCUGUUCGGCAUCGGAUACUGGCAGACUAGAAUGCGGUAGAGGUAAAGGGAAUUCCUGGUGUAGCGGUGAAAUGCGUAGAUAUCAGGAGGAACAUCGGUGGCGUAAGCGCUUUACUGGGCCGUAAUUGACACUGAGGAACGAAAGCCAGGGUAGCAAAUGGGAUUAGAUACCCCAGUAGUCCUGGCCGUAAACGAUGGAUACUAGGUGUUGCGGGUAUCGACCCCUGCAGUGCCGUAGCUAACGCGUUAAGUAUCCCGCCUGGGGAGUACGCACGCAAGUGUGAAACUCAAAGGAAUUGACGGGGACCCGCACAAGCGGUGGAACAUGUGGUUUAAUUCGAAGCAACGCGAAGAACCUUACCAGGGCUUGACAUCUAACAAACCUUUGUGAAAGCAGAGGGUGCUCUUCGGAGAAUGUUAAGACAGGUGGUGCACGGUUGUCGUCAGCUCGUGUCGUGAGAUGUUGGGUUAAGUCCCGCAACGAGCGCAA
rnacentral:rRNA from 1 species